UUUGCCUAUGAUGGUGUUAAAUAUACUUUGAGUAUCUCACUCUGAAAACAAUCUAAAUCUGAGGUGU
rnacentral:snoRNA from 1 species